CUCCUCACCCAGAGCCAGACCUCCACCUCCUCACCCAGAGCCAGACCUUCACCUCCUCACCCGGAGCCAGACCUCCACCUCCUGUCAGAAGUCUUCCAGAACAGACAAGGAACCCAUGGCUGAUGGAGGAGUUGUGCUGAAGGCCCUGCCUGGUGGAGGAGCUGGUGGAGGCCCUGCCUGGUGAAGGACGUCUGUCGUGGGACAGGACUCUGUCUGAGGAGAGCUGCUGGAGGAGCUGAGACGCUGGAGGACGACUAGGAAUCGACCAACAAGGAUUCCUCAACGUGUUUCUGGAGCGGAGGCGAGCUGGUAGGGGAGCCAUGAAUCUGGAGGAUGACCAUCACUCUAUCAACAAGGAUUACUUUAGGGCCAGACUUGCGCUGUUUGUUCCAGACCAGGACUCUGGCUGAUGGAGGAGCCAAGACUCUGGAGGACGACAUCACUCUACCAACCAAGAUCCUCAGACAAAUUACGUUUGUAACCAGACCAGGAAUCGGGAGGACUGAUGGAGAAGCCGUACAUCUGGAAGGCAAAUCCAGAGGACAACCAGGACUCUACCAUCAAGACACACCUGAGCUGAACCUCACCUGAUCUUGUUUGGUCGGGGGUAGACACACCUGAGCUAAACCCGCCCUGAUCCUGACAUCCUGCUGGUCCCGUCUCCUCAGUUCAUCUGCGCCUCGUCCUCCAGAAGACCUGCUGAGCUCAGCAGUCUGAGGCUGAUGGAUCAAUGACCUCCAGUGGGAGUGAUCUUCUUGACCCCACAUGUAACCGUGUGUUUCCACACGCCUUUCCCUCAUGUUUGUCACUAACCUCACUACUUCACUACUCUCUGCUGCUUCCUCUUUUCUUCCUUCUCUGUGGUUCGAAACUUUACACGGAAGGCGCGUCUUCCUGCCCUCAGAGGGUUCAGCGUUAGGGUUGAGAGUCAGGGUUUAGAGUCAGGGACAGAGCUGGUCAGGGAGGACUGCUUUUACACAAACCUCUUCACUUCCUUUCGGAAUGGUGGUGACAUUUUGAAAAGAUUCAUUUGGGAAAAUGUUUUCCUCUGCUUUCCUUUACAAAAUUGUAUUCAAUUUCUGUCAAGUGUUUUUGUUUAGAUAUUAA